rnacentral:rRNA from 1 species
AUUGAACGCUGGCGGCAUGCCUUACACAUGCUAGUCGAACGGCAGCAUGACCUAGCUUGCUAGAUUGAUGGCGAGUGGCGAACGGGUGAGUAAUACAUCGGAACGUGCCCUGUAGUGGGGGAUAACUAGUCGAAAGAUUAGCUAAUACCGCAUACGACCUGAGGGUGAAAGUGGGGGACCGCAAGGCCUCAUGCUAUAGGAGCGGCCGAUGUCUGAUUAGCUAGUUGGUGAGGUAAAGGCUCACCAAGGCGACGAUCAGUAGCUGGUCUGAGAGGACGAUCAGCCACACUGGGACUGAGACACGGCCCAGACUCCUACGGGAGGCAGCAGUGGGGAAUUUUGGACAAUGGGGGCAACCCUGAUCCAGCAAUGCCGCGUGUGUGAAGAAGGCCUUCGGGUUGUAAAGCACUUUUGUCCGGAAAGAAAUCGCACUUACUAAUAUUAGGUGUGGAUGACGGUACCGGAAGAAUAAGGACCGGCUAACUACGUGCCAGCCGCCGCAGUAAGAC